UACGUAGGGUGCAAGCGUUAAUCGGAAUUACUGGGCGUAAAGCGUGCGCAGGCGGCUGCUCAAGUCAGGGGUGAAAGCCCAGAGCUCAACUCUGGAAUUGCCUUUGAGACUGAGUGGCUUGAGUACGGGAGAGGUGAGUGGAAUUCCCAGUGUAGAGGUGAAAUUCGUAGAUAUUGGGAAGAACACCGGUGGCGAAGGCGGCUCACUGGCCCGUAACUGACGCUCAUGCACGACAGCGUGGGGAUCAAACAGG
rnacentral:rRNA from 1 species